UACGUAGGGACCAAGCGUUGUUCGGAUUUACUGGGCGUAAAGGGCGCGUAGGCGGCUUAACAAGUCACUUGUGAAAGCUCCUGGCUUAACUGGGAGAGGCCGUUCAAAACUGUCAAGCUAGAGUCUGGAAGAGGAGAGCGGAAUUCCCGGUGUAGUGGUGGAAUGCGUAGAGAUCGGGAGGAACACCAGUGGCGAAAGCGGCUCUCUGGUCCAAACUGACGUGAGGGCGAAAGCGUGGGGAGCGAAGCGGG
rnacentral:rRNA from 1 species